CUCAUCAGGUCUAGGGGUAUGAUUCUCACUUCGGGUGUGAGAGGUCCUGGGUUCAAAUCCCGGAUGAGU
rnacentral:tRNA from 2 species